CCCGAUCCCGCAGGCCAGGCCGAAGGACCCCACUGGUGCAUAAAUUCGUGCACCGGGCCUCUAGUUACGAAAUAAUAUUUAACCUUCACUGUGGCUUUGCAUGCUGGGAGUAUCCCCAUUUUUUCAGAUGAGGAAAUUAAGGUUCACAUGAAGUUAUUUGUCUAGGGUCACUUGCCAGCUGACCUUGACCUCUGUCCCUAAGCCCACCUUGGCCAUGGAGAUCCAGCCGUCUGGGCUCUCCCUGCUGUUGGGCUGUGCAGUGGGUGGGACACAGGCAUCUGGGCUGCGCAGGGCACCCUCAUGCCCUGCAGUGGGAGGUGGGCACCUCCUGUCCCAGGCACACACUGCCUCUUCACUCGCGCAUGCAGGAAGGCUGCAAAUGACUGCUUGGGACCAUCUGCUGUGAUCCAACAGGAAAACCAACCACAUGAAAAGAGCCGCAAACUACAAAUGCGACAUGGAAUGAACAUCGAUCCCACGAUUCUGAAUGCAUCUUAACAGGGCCCCAGGAGGAGAAAACAGGAUUCUUGCGACAGAAAUGUUCUGUCUUUGGACUGUACCCAUGUGAACAUCCUGGUUUGGCCUUGUAAUAUAGUUUUAUAAGACAUUGUCAUUCGGGGAAACUGGAUAAGGCCAUGUGGGAUAUAGUUCUUACAACUGCAUGCAAAUAUACAAUUAAGUCGUAUAAAAAAGUUUAAUUAAAA